rnacentral:rRNA from 1 species
CGGUGGAGCAUGUGGUUUAAUUCGAUGCAACGCGAAGAACCUUACCAGGUCUUGACAUCCAAAGAAUCCCUUCGAAAGUAGGGAGUGCCUUCGGGAGCUUUUGAGACAGGUGGUGCAUGGUUGUCGUCAGCUCGUGUCGUGAGAUGUUGGGUUAAGUCCCGCAACGAGCGCAACCCUUGCUAUUAGUUGCUAACAGGUAAUGCUGAGCACUCUAAUGGGACUGCCGGUGACAAGCCGGAGGAAGGUGGGGAUGACGUCAAAUCAUCAUGCCCUUUAUGACCUGGGCUACACACGUGCUACAAUGGAUGGUACAGAGAGCAGCAAGACCGCGAGGUGGAGCGAAUCUCAAAAAGCCAUUCUCAGUUCGGAUUGGAGUCUGCAACUCGACUCCAUGAAGUCGGAAUCGCUAGUAAUCGCGAAUCAGCAUGUCGCGGUGAAUGCGUUCCCGGGCCUU